CCAAGAUGCGUUCCCCAAUUUGGAACGAAAUAGAAACGCGGACAGACUAGGGCUUCCAGCUCCGGUGGCGGACCUCGCCGUGUGCUCCGCUGCGACGCCGGGCGAACGAGCUCGACACGGUACAGCCGUCCAGCUCGCGCCCCUCUCCCACUCCACCGGACCCGACCCAACCCGGCGCCAGCUCCGCCAUCCAUCGACGCUGGGGAAGAAAAGUCAGAUCUUCAGGUAUGAUGUUGGAUGUUAAGGCAUCUGUGCUAUUAUUGCGCUUUCUGGUCCUGAUCCAUCGGUCCCUUUAUAUUGAUUUCGUGAGAUGUAGCUACUUCAGUUACUGCAUUUUUCAUAGGGCCAGCUGAAGGAGACGGUUCUUUAGUCUCCUUUAUGUAUACUGUAGAUUGCUGACAGGCCUAGCUGAAGCAACAAAAGCUUCAGACUUGUAUUCUUGAGAAUACCAUUAUUAGGAGAAAUGUCAGCAGGAAAUCCAUUGAAACAACACCGACUCAGCAUUUGGUAAGCUACAUGUUACAGUUUCCUUUUUAUCGCUGCAAGCAAGAUUCUUUGUGUGGCCAUAUGUUGGUUUUGGAUGAUGAACAGAGCCUUUAGUAAUAGCAUUUGUUACUUUCUGUAAACUUAGCACAGGGAAAUUCAGUGACCCAAAACUGGAUCUCACAUUUAUAUACUUAUAUCAGGAGGCCCCUGAACACUUAGUCUCAUCCUCCGUGAAUGACCCAAACAACAGAACCUAUAUUACAGAAGAAACUAGGAUGAGAACAAAUGAGUAGAUCAAAAACUUGAGCACUAAAAUAGCUUGCGUGGCAUCCAAACAGCAGCUAUGUCAAGAUGUGAAUACAUUAAUUACAAGCUGAAGCAGAGGAGACUAAAGAACCGUCUCCUUCAGCUUGCCCUGUGAAAAAUGCAGUGACUGAAGUAGCUACAUCUCUCGAAAUCAAUAUAAAGGGACCGAUGGAUCAGCAGAAAAAUUGUAUAGUAACUGCUUCUAUAUGAAUUUCACGUCAGCUGUCUGGUCUGUGGAAACUCAAUUCUGGACCCUAUCUGAUCAUACACCACUAAUGAAAAAAUAGCGAUAGUAAAAUUUCAGCAACUUAUGGCCUAAUACUGUACAUAAGUUCGAACAAAUCCAUCUACCACCUGGAUGUGAAGUGCUAGUUGGGACAAGACUGGGAUUCGUCUACCUGUACAAUGUGUGCGACUUCCCUUAUUUCUGGGAGAUCCCUAUCUAUUUGUUAGCACCAGAUGCCAGAUGCCAGAUCCCUAUCUAUUCAUAACACUCUUUUCCUUAGUACAUCCAAAUGCCAGUGCAUUCAGAAAAUUUCUCUCUUCACUACUAUAGCAUGAUUUUUUUAUUGUGUUGCAUGAAAAGCUAACUCUUAGUUGCUCCUGCAUGUACUAUCUAGCAUUUUUAUCUGCACAGAGUAGAGAAUGAUGGAGUCAAUGGCAAGUAUUGCUCCAAGUGCCGGGUUAACUACAACAAUGGGACUUGAAGAUGACGCCAACAACUUUUCCAUGGUAUUUCCUUGAUAUAUUACUCAUGUUCAUAUGUCCAUGUCAUGUCAUGUCAUCCACCUGAGGUUGCAAACACAAAGGGCAGUGGAAAGAGAUUGAAGAGGGGUUCAGAGGAGGCCAUGAACAAAAGGAAGAGGUAAAUCGGAUUGUAAGUAGUAUGUAUUUUGUCAGGUUUUUGUAGAUUGCAGCUGAGGUUUUUUCCUUCUUUGCAGAGCAAGUAGCGUACAAAAAGUUCCAAAUCUGUAGAUUGUUCUAGUUAUCAGGUUCGCCAUGACAGCUAAAUGGUUUAAAUAUCUUACCCCCUUUAGAAAAGCAUGUUGAGUGUUUUUGCAAAUAUUUGACUAGAUUUGUUUUUGAUAUUUUGUAGCACACUUAGCCCAUGGGAGCGGACAUCAUUCAUCUUGUGUUAAAUCAUGAUUGAAAAAUGACUUCAUUCCUGUGCUAUCCAAUGUUGGAGACUUCUGCUAACCUAGUUGAAUAUGUUGGUGCAAUAUAUGUGUACCGGCUACCUUGGGCUAUAAACCACGUUUGGGUUGCAACUCUAGUUAUGUGCUCAUGGUAGAUUUAUAUGUAUCCCUUUAUGUGUACUGUCAUGAGUACUGCUCAGAAAGCAUUCAUGAUAUUUUGUACAAAAAGGUGUGCAAGAACAUAAUAUUGUUGUACUGUUAGCUUUCAAAUACCAAGAUGGAUUUGAAAGUGGUGGAAUGCAUUUCCA
rnacentral:lncRNA from 1 species